UUGUCCUCCUUCUUGAGCUUCAUGUGGUCUAUGGAUUGUAUCUUUGGUAAUCUGAGCUUUUGGACUAAUAUCCACUUAUCAGUGAGUGCAUGCAAUGUAUUUUUGUUUGUUUUUUUUUUUUUGUGAUUUGGUUACCUUACUCAGGAUGAUAUUUUCUAGUUCCAUCCAUUUGCCUAUGAAUUUCAUGAAGUCACUGUUUUUAAUAGCUGAGUAGUAUUCCAUUGUGUAGAUGUACCACAUUUUUUCUAUCCAUUCCUCUGUUGAAGGGCAUCUGGGUUCUUUCCAGCUUCUGGCUAUUAUAAAUAAGGCUGCUGUGAACAUAGUGGAGCAUGUAUCUUUGUUAUAUGUUGGAGCAUCUUUUGGGUAUAUGCCCAAGAGAGAUAUAGCUGGGUCCUCAGGUAGUGCAAUGUCCAAUUUUCUGAGGACCCUCCAGACUGAUUUCCAGAAUGGUUGUACCAGUUUGCAAUCCCACCAACAAUGGAGGAGUGUUCCUCUUUCUCCACAUCCUCGCCAGCAUUGGCUGUCACCUGAGUUUUUGACCUUAGCCAUUCUCACUGGUGUGAGGUGAAAUCUCAGGGUUGUUUUGAUUUGCAUUUCCCUUAUGACUAAAGAUGUAAACAUUUCUUUAGGUGCUUCUUAGCCAUUUGAUAUUCCUCAGCUGAGAAUUGUUUGUUUAGCUCUGUCCCCCAU
rnacentral:lncRNA from 1 species